AUGAAGGCCCUAGAUGACAAACCCACAGCCAAUAUCAUACUGAAUGAGGAAGAGGUGAAGGCUUUUCCUGUGAGAUCUGGGCCAAGACAAGGACGCCCACUUUCAACACUUUUUAUUCAACAUAGUACUGGAAGUCCCAGCCAGUACUUAGAAUCUUGGGCCAGAGGCCAUUUUGGAAGCAUCUUGCCAAGCUCUGCUUCUUCUCUGAGUUUGGAGAAGGCAAAAGACAAGGAGUAGACCUCCACAGAGAAGUUGAGGGAAGAGGAUCAGCAGGCUUCUAAUCAACAAAACACAAUUGCUUUGUCAGGAACAUCAGCAAAGGGAACCAAUGGAAAAAUAUCUGUGAAGGGUGACAAAAUGCUCUGCCCUAAGAAGAAGGCAGAGUACAGUGACAUCCCCAGACCUCAGAAGAUACCAAUCCCUCCAUUACCCUCUAAACUGCCACCUGUUAAUCUGAUUCACCGGGACGUUCUGUGGCCUGGUAUCUGUGUGCCUUUGCCUACACAAAUCAAAAGGAUUUUCCUAGUACAGCAAAAAAGGCCAAAAUCCAGAAAUCAUUGCAAAAAAAAUUAACGGUGGAAAAAGGGGAAAUAUCCCUGCAAAGUUCUGAGACACAUCCUCCUGAAGUGGGACUUCUUUCUCCCUGAGGAGGGGCUGCCUGCCCUGGAAAAGUCCACUGCUCUCCUUGAGGGAGCUAAUAUAGUUGUGGUGUCAACUUCUGGCUCAGAGGCUUUGCUGGCCUCCUGGGUGAGAAUUUCAGCAAGGGCAAGGAUGCCAGAGACAGUGGAAUCUCCACAAGAGGCCUGUGGUGUCAGGUGGUGGUGUGUGGUCCAGGGGAAACGUCUCCCUGCAGACACAGAUGUUUGGGUUCACCUGCAGUUUCAUGCUGGUCAGGCCUGGGUCCCAGAGAAGCAAGAAGGGAGAGUGAGUGCCUCCAAUUUUCCACCUCCACACCUUGAAGACAGUAUGUUGUGCCCCAAAUGUGUUCACAGGAAUAAGGUCUUAAUAAAAAGCCUCCAAUGGGAAUAGAAUAUCAGGGAAAAGGCCACAUCCAUGGGAAUUAAUGGCAGAAAGACUGGAGAGUCGGAUUUCGUGGUGUUGCUGACAGGUGAACUCUGGUCCCCUUCACACCUAUUUAUGGGCCAUGUAGACUGAUGGGGUGGUAGAUGUUAGCCUAAGACCCCUAGUAGUGCCUGUUGCUUUGUGAGUGGAGACAGAUAUAGACUCUUACAUUUAAAAAUGGGGAAAACAUUUCACAAAUUAUGAUAAAUUGUAAUUAAUAUGUAGAAAAACUCAUUUAUACUACCUUUCUAAAACAGAAAUGACGUCAGCAGCUUUUUUGUUUGUUUGAGACAGUGUCUUGCUCUGUUGCCCAGGCUGGAGUGCAAUGGUGUGAUCUCAGUUCAGUGCAGUCUCUGCCUCCUGGGUUCAAGUGAUUCUGCUGUCUGAGACUCCUGAGUAUCUGGGAUUACAGGCACCACCACCAUACUCAGCCAAUUUUUUUUGUAUUUUUUAUUAGAGAGGGGGUUUCACUAUGUUAACCAGGCUGGUCUCAAACUCCUGGCCUCGAGUGAACCACCCACCUCAGCCUCUCAAAAUGCUUGGAUUACAGGCAUGAGCCAUGGAGCCUGGCCUUCAGCAGCUCUUUUAAGUGUGAACUUCUUCAGCUGAGCAUUGUGAAGGAGUUGAGGAAAACAAUAGUUUGCUCCUAUGCUCAAUUUUUCCCUCCUCUGAACACUGACUAGGAGCUGCAUCAUUCCAAUUCAAUUUCAUAAAAUGUAUUUUAAGGCAAAGGAAGGCUAUUAAUUUUCUCCCUCCCCCAAACACGAUUUUUAAUAUUCAAAACAAUAUUUUUCAAAGUUCUCUUAGUAACCUGAGAUUUCUAUGGUUUGACUCCAGGAUCAAUACACAAGGCACUUUGUAUUAUUUCACUUCGAAUUGUUUUCAAUAUUUCUGGUGUUUAAAAUGUUUGAAGUUGCUUCCCACUCAUAAAUACAUGAUAUAUUGAACUUAAAAUCUGUCUAUUAACCAGUUCUCCAUAAAUAAAAAUAAGAUGUAUAUAUAAAAUAAUUCAUCUGUUGUAUUUAGGGAACCGUAUUCAUUGCAUGCAAAUUAUUGUUAGUGUUCGUAACUCAAAGUAGGAGUAAACCAAAAUGUAUGAUUUUUCUUUUGCAUGACUCAUUUGUUUGUUGUUUUCUUUAUUAGUUGGUGGUAUGGGUUGGAUCAUUUGUUGUGAAAACUACUUAGGUAUGACUGACAUACAAAAAGCUGUACAUAUUUCAUGUAUUCUAUUGAGUAUAAUAAAUUUUUAAUUUUUUUUGUGUACUUCCUACAUUUAUAGUCCUGAAAGUCUGUGAACAGGUCUUUUUUUCACUUGUCCUAUUUUAAUGACUGUUUCCAACAUUGUUUCAUUAUUACAGCUAGGGGAUCUUUUUUCUUUUGCCCCUUUAAUGAAGAUACUAAAAAUAAUGCACUGGAAGGAGUGGCAGAGUUGGAAAAUUUGUAACUGUCAUAAUACAGGUGUGAUACGUCUGGGAAAGAAUUCUCAAAAAUGUGAGAGAAACGUUUGUUGAAAAGCAAGAUGUUCUUCUCUCCUGCCCCCCAAUUGGUUGUUGGUGGUCAGAAUUGUUCAGUGUAAUAAAUAUAGACAUUUUUUCUUA